rnacentral:lncRNA from 1 species
UGGGGAGACGAAAAGUAAUGAAUUAAGUUGUUAUCAAAACUUCCCUCAUUUUUUAUAGAAUAUCUUUGCAACUAUAAUUUCUAUUUAGUUUAAGUCCUAUCAGUAAGCAAUAUGCAAAUGCAAAAGGGAGCAGGGCUAUAUGGAUUAAUUCAAGUGGUACCAAGUGAUCCUGAACCCUUUGCUUAUGACUUUGACAAGAGCAUUAUUCAGAAUGAUUGGUACUACCAGAGUACUCAUGAACAAGCCACUGGAUUGUCUUCAAAUCCUUUUGGUAUGGGUGAGGGACCAUAAUCAUGUGAUUAAUUCUGGAAAAGUGAAGACAAAGCCAAAAUAUCCUGUGUCAGAUACACAUUCUCAACAUAAAUGGCAAUAUUUAAAGAGAAACCAACCAUGAGCCACAAUUGAAGGAAUUUCAAAGGAGAGACUGAUUCAGCCAUGUAGGAAUUCCAAAGAAAUACAAACCAGGGGUCAGUCAUUUCAGUUAUAGUCACAAAUGCAAAACAUGAAUUAAUGUUUCAGUUACAAUCAGUAGUGAUGACCAGAAUAAUCAUGACAUGUUACACAUUUUGGGCAAACCAUCAGACCACCACAAUCAGCUAUAUAAGAACAGCCUACACAUACUAAAAGAGGGCAGAUAUCAAGUGCACGCAAAAACAUAUACCACAUAGAGAGACAAGCUUAUCACAGAAAGGGAUACCACUCAUACACCUACAACUCUAAAAAGGGAUACAAGAUAGGGCAACCAGAGAGCAUAUAAUACACUGAAAGCAUAUAGAUAUGCACAUACAACACCCAUACCAUGAAGACAUGCAUAACACAGAUCAUAAGACACUCAUACCACACAACAUAGACACACCAUACGAGAAUCAGAAAGCAACAUCACACAAGGAACUCAUAUACCACAAAUCACACAUUCAACACAUAUACAGAGUAAAAAUCAGAUUACUCAGGAAAAUUAGAGAUAUCGACAUACUGAUCACGCAUAAUACAACAAAGAGCAUACACAGAUACACGCAUAUCACCACAUACAUAGAGGCAGAGCCUCUGUAUACAGAGAACCAACACUCAGAAGGACAAAGGAAGAGAGCAUACACUCAGGUAAGCAUUCAAACCAUAAAAAACAAUGUUUUAUAUGAGCCAUGACCAUCAAGGCAUACACACAUAUCAAAUAAACAUAUCAGCUUUUGUAUGGUCUAUGUACUAGACUUAUAUGCUUAAUUGAUAAAUGUUUCUAAUCGACCAUACACACUAGUUUCAACAGAACAUAUAUAUGCUUAAUUAAAAAUGAAAUAGAUGAAAACAAACAGUGCAUUGCCAUAACCUUAAGGCUAGAUAAUGUGAUUUAUGUCCAGUUUAGCUUUUAACCCAAAUCUAUUUUCACAUACAUAACACCAAUCAUUUCCUAGAAAUGCAUAUACAUAUACUAGAUUAGAACAUAAGUAAACCUUAAAAGCUUGGGAGAACAUGAUUGAAAUCUGUUUUUGUUUACAUGUCACCACCAAUUAGUACAUGCUCUAAGAUUAAGCAAAAUUUCAAUAGAAAAGGGAUACGAUGCCUUGCCAAACUCCGUUAUCACUACCGAUUUGGAACCCAUUGUCUUAGUUGGUCCAUGUGAGUAUGAGGGGCUGUGAAGAAUAAGAAGGGCAUAUCAAAAGAUGAAGAUUCAGGGUUAUGGAAAUAUGAUAUAAAAUUAGGGAAGAUGACUACCUUCUGGCAACCACCAUUUCGGGAUAAGGAAACUCAGUUCGUGGGGAGCCAUACCUUCGCCGAAGAAGAGCUUACCCACGGGAAAGAAAAUAAUGGAGAAAUAUUUCUCUUCAAUAUUCCCUCUUGAAGUAGGGAUGAAGAUUCCAUGCCAUGGGAGAUGCCUUCAAUCGAUAACCAUCGUGAUUCCCCAGGGAGAAUGCAAAAAAUGGAAUUAGGGAUCCCAAUCCCCCUCGUCACAAAGGCGAUGGAGAAGAGAAUGGGGACGUCGGCAUUGAGACAUCACCGUCACCAUUGACGGCAUUGCUCAUCGCCGUCGCUGCCUUUUGCUGUCGCCGUCGCUGCCUUUCGCUGUCGCCGUCGCUGCUGAAAUUGGUGAGGGAGUAGGAGAUGAGGGUUAGGGAUUCUUUCCCUGGUUAUGGUCGUGAAUUGGGGGUGUCCCCUUUGCAUUAU